UAAGGUAGCAUAAUCAUUUGUCUUUUAAUUAAAGACUAGAAUAAAAGAUAUUACAUUCCAAUUAUUUAAUUAUUUAAUUUUCAAAUUUUAAAUUAUUUUAAAUGUAAAAAAACAUUUUUUUAAUAAAAAGACAAUAAGACCCUAUUGAAUUUAAUUAAAAUUUAACUGGGGCAGUUAAUCAAUAAUUAUUUUAAUUCAAAUCAUUAAAAAUUGAUCUAAUUUAAUUAAAAUGAUCAAAUUACCUUAGGGAUAACAGCAUAAUAUAUUUUUAAAGAUCUUAUAGAAAAAGAUGAUUGUGACCUC
rnacentral:rRNA from 1 species